AUCCUUACCUGGCAGGGGAGAUUCCUUGAUCAGGAAGGAGGUUUUCCCAGGGUGAGGCUCCUCCACUGCACUCUGGGUGUGCUGACCCCUGCGAUUUCCCCAAAUGCGGGAAACUUGACUGCAUUAUUUGUGGGGAGGGGUGAAAGGGUAUUGCUGCCAGGCACUG